UACUUUCCUCCCUCUCCAGAUACCUUCCUCUUCUCUCCCAUUUCUUCUCUCCAACCCUCAGAUUCCCUCCUCUCUAGUGGGGGGCAGGGCCCUUGCGCAAGGGACCAUUCCUCCCCUCCCCCACCCUAGGCAUCUGACCCCAGAAGGGAAGGGUUUUCUCCAGGGGACUUGCCAGGGGACUUGCCAGGGGACUUGCCGUCUCUCACUUCCCUCUGGCUCCCUGAAGCCUUGCUGAUUCCACCCUAAGUGCUGAGUCUGGAAACAGGGGUUCAGGAAAUGGCCUCCCUCCUACCCCCACCCCAGUUCAUUUGUCCUGGAGAAGGGGCACUUCUGCCAUUUGACCCUCCUGUCCCCAUACCCAUGCUAUUGGCCUCUGGGUGGAGUCUGUUUAUCAGUGCAGAGACACUCAGGCCUCUCCUCCUCCUUUAUCUCAGCUUCUCAGGGGAGGCAAAGGGAGGGAGUCUUCACUCCCCAAGCCAUCUUGCCCUUGGGUGGCUCCUCUUGUCCUGCUCUGUGCCCUUGCUCAUGGAGUUUCUUUAUUUCUGGAAUAUUCUUUCUUCACUCCUUUCUCCUAUGAUUGAAAUCUCCCCGGAUCCUUCAAUUUGCAGGCAGAGGACUGCACAGCCAGGAGACCCUGAUCUGCUAAAUUAUUAGUCCUGUGACAAUAAACAAGCCACUUAAAUUCUCAAGCAGGUGGCUUGAGUCUUCAUCUCCCUAGUGAUUGCAAAUCUUUAGUGGCAGGGAUGGUGUCCCUUUUUCCUUCGUAUCUUCCCACGAUGCUUUAUAAAUAUGUGUAGGAAUGAACUGCAUUCCAAGCCAGAAACUGUCUUUCCCACAUCCUACUGAGAUCUCACUGUGGUCACAGUGAGCAUAUUUCUGAGAGAAGGUAUUUCACUUCUGUCCCUUGUUUUCCCAUCCCAGGCAAAAUAGGAUAGUCCCUCUCAUGGUACCUCAGCAGUAUUUCCUGCCUACAUCAGCACUGGGCGAUGGUGUGUGUGUUGGGAUGGAGAUGAGAAGACUGAGAUACAUGGAAGUACAGUACACUUGCUCCAAGUUAUAAAAUCAACAAUCAUCAAAGCCUAGACUGAAGCAAACUCUGAACUAUUGAGACCCUCAGUCAUUAAGUUUCUAUUUUUGGAAGGCUCUUCUUCAUCAGAAUCUUCUUCUGUCUAAACUCUUUCACCUAUUCUUCAUGGCUUGACCUUGUUAUGACUGCCUUGGAGGCUAUUAUUCUCCAGACUCUCAAACAUUCGUUUCACCUUUUGAAGAUCAUGUCUUUCAGGAAACAACAAAUGUUGGGGAGGAUGUGGAGAAAAGGGAACCCUCUUGCACACUUCAUGGUAAUGCAAGCUGAUAUAGACACUCUGGAAAACAGUAUGGAGGUUCCUCAAGAAGUUAAAAAUAGAGCUACUCUACAACCCUGCUAACUGCACCACUAGGUAUUUACUCCAAAGAUACAAAUGUAGAGAUCUGCAGGGGCAGCU